rnacentral:tRNA from 1 species
UGGAUGGCUCGGUUGGUUAGAUCGUGGUGCUGAUAACAUCAAGGUUGCAGGUUUGAUCCCCUGAUGGGACAA